rnacentral:lncRNA from 1 species
AUGUGCUGUGGCGGUGCCUGGUGGUACCGUGGCUGUGGUACCGGGUCGUACCGCGGCUGUGGUGCCGGGUGGUACUGUGGAGGAGCAGGCUCCUGCCGAGGUGGCUCGGGAUCAGCUUGCUGUAGCGGGGGCUCAACCUGCGAUAGCGGAGGAGGUCCCGGUAACUCCCUUCUCUCCUCUCGCCUUUGCUGGGCAGUUACGAGCGCUUCCACCAUCUCAAAUAGUCUGUCUAAAUCCUCCCGAAGCGAAUUAUCU